GCCUCUUGUUUCGGCGUUGGCCCUGGAGUGCUGAGCUGCCACAUGUGGAUGGUGGGUGUGGCACACGGCCCGGCUUGCAGGCUGGCUGCAUUUCUGGGACCAGUGGCUUCUUGGGCAGCUGCACCUGAGCAGACAGGCAGGCAGUUUCCAGAGUCAUCGGGGUGGAAUCGCUGAGGACAAUCCUGUCUCCGAUCAUCUUUGGAUCUGCGUGUGCUCGACCCGCCCUCCUCCCAAACCCUGGGCAACCUGGCUUUCACCCCAGCCCAGAAUCAACAGACUCACCAGAAACACCGCCUUGCUCCGCACAGGCCAGUACAGUCUGCGCCCUCACUGGAGCAGCUUGCACAGCGCGAGGAAGUCGGCUGGCGGCCUCCACUUGCUUAUUUGCAUACCACAUCCUCAUUGGUUCUUACCGAGGAGCUCGUCCACUUCCCUCUCUGACACAAUGGUUGGGGGCGGGGCCCACAUUGGCCCCACCUCCAAUUCUCUGGGCUCUGCCCUCCCACACUCGCCUGGGAGCCGCAGGCUGAGGAUGCUGGUACCCACGCUCCCCGCUGCCGGGAGGACCCCCCACCCACCACCGAAGCUGGGGCUAGGCUCUUUGAUCCGCUCCUGCCCCGAGGGGAGCCUAAAAGCCAAAGCCACGUCUUCCACCGGUGGCACAAGCACCUUCCUCGUGUCCUCCUUGGUCGCUGCGCAGCCCUGGGCCUCCUGCUCCUGUUCGUUUCCAGGGGCCUCUGCCCCUCCCGCGGUGUGCACAGCCCCAGGUUCUGCCUUGAGACCUCUCCCCUCUACAGUGGAAAGAGUGCCGGCUCUAAGUCACAGACCUAGCUUCAGUUCCUGGCUCUGCUCUUUCCUGCCAAUGUGACUCAACCUCUCUUAGCAUUAGUCCCACACUGUAAAUGGGCUUGAGUGUUCUUCCAAUAUGGGAGUAUGGGAUUCAAUAAAAUCUCCCUACAACACACCGAGUA